rnacentral:rRNA from 1 species
AUGCACGCUUGCGGCUUGCCUAAUACAUGCCAGUCGAGCGAACGGACGAGAAGCUUGCUUCUCUGAUGUUAGCGGCGGACGGGUGAGUAACACGUGGAUAACCUACCUAUAAGACUGGGAUAACUUCGGGAAACCGUAGCUAAUACCGGAUAAUAUUUUGAACCGCAUGGUUCAAAAGUGAAAGACGGUCUUGCUGUCACUUAUAGAUGGAUCCGCGCUGCAUUAGCUAGUUGGUAAGGUAACGGCUUACCAAGGCAACGAUGCAUAGCCGACCUGAGAGGGUGAUCGGCCACACUGGAACUGAGACACGGUCCAGACUCCUACGGGAGGCAGCAGUAGGGAAUCUUCCGCAAUGGGCGAAAGCCUGACGGAGCAACGCCGCGUGAGUGAUGAAGGUCUUCGGAUCGUAAAACUCUGUUAUUAGGGAAGAACAUAUGUGUAAGUAACUGUGCACAUCUUGACGGUACCUAAUCAGAAAGCCACGGCUAACUACGUG